GAAAAAGUUUGCAAGAACUGCUAACUCAUGCUUCCACACUUAAAAAUGUGGCUUUUUCA
ensembl:Mt_tRNA